GAUAAACAAUAGUGAUAAACAAGUGGGCUUAUAUUCGGGGGGGGCUUAUACACGGGGGGCUUAUAUUCUGGGGGGGAGCUAAUAUUCGGAGGUUUACGCUAUUUACCUAUUAAAUCCAUAACCAAAACUUUCCAUACAAUAUCGUUCGAGAUAGCUUGGUAUAUGUAACUUCAAUUCUACGUGUCUCAAAAGUAUAUUUUUACACUAGGUACAUGAGAGCAGUUGCAUAUCGAUGGAUUAUUCGAUGGAUGUGUGGAUGUCUAGGUUGGCAAAACUCUAGGCCUUUACCAGCAUGUAUAUAUAUACCGAUAUCAGAAAACGAUUUCCAUUGGGGAUACCAUCAGAGUACACUGGCUACAUAUCUGCACAGAAAAGGAACUAGUCAUGACACUAUGGUAGACAAUUGCUAUGUUCAGAUCUGACAUCCACCAAAAUGAACUAACCAUCUGUUGAUUGUCUACCAUAUAUGCAGUUGGUGCAUCAAAAUAAAACACAUUGUUAUAUCUUCUUGAGAAUAUUAAAUACCUGCAAGGGAUGCAAGUUAAAUUAGCUUUUAAAUAUUGAGUAAAGACUUUUGUUGUUUUGCAUAUAUGAUAUGCAUAUCAAC